UUAAUCUUGUUGUGUUAAAAACAAAAGAUUAUUGAAUUAGCUUGCAAAGAAAAAAGAAAAAAAAUUUAUAAAAUUUCUUAAUAGAAAUUAAUUAACCUAACAGAACAAAGAUCCGCAUUUUUAAAACUUUGACAAAAGACCCACUCCACUGGGAUGGGCGAUUAAAGGCAAGCAACGGAAUUGGAAGAAUAUGCCAAUUGCUAAUAAAAGUAAUUAAAAUUAGAGAAAAAAAGAAGAAGAAACUAGCCGUUGGGCUCACAAAUUCAAAUGGUAUAUAUAUUGGGUCACAACACAAGUUGUCCAUUUUUCUUCAUAGAAAGACAAACAAAUCUCUUCUUCUUCCUCCUCAAUUCUCUCUCCAAACGCUACUCCUUCUCUCUCUCUCUCUCAAUAACUCCUUUCUGUCUCUGUCUCUGAUUCUGUUUGAAAAGCUUGCUGCGCACAGAUCUGCAUUAUUCUUAUUUUGAGAAUUCCAAAAGUGCUGUGGUCGAGAAGUUGGUAGAAGAAACAACAACCAAUGAUCAGCAUUUGAUGCAUCUUAUAAGUAUGUGUGACUAGUGAAGAACUGUAUCUUUGCGUUGGCCUUUCUGAAUUCAGAAUUUUGUAGACCUUGCUGGAAGUGAAAGAGCUUCACAGACACAUGCAGAUGGGGCGAGGCUCAGAUAAGGCGAUCAUAUCAAUCUUAGUUUGAUAACUCUGACAACUGUGAUAAGAAAGCUCAGUGUUGCGAAAAGAAGCGGUCAUAUACCCUACCGGGACUCCAGCUUCCCGGCAAGUUUUGGAAAAUGAGAUUGAAAACAGAGCACCGGAAAAUGAAGACUUCAUUUCAUAAUCGGUGAGACCCAGCCAGUCUGUGAAAGAGACUUCUACAAUAUGUGGAGAUGUUUCAUCAAAGGAAGGAACUCCAGGCUAUCGUCAUUCUAUUUCAGUUAAUGUGAAGAAAAUGCAGAAGAUGGUUUAGAAUGCAGCAGAGGAGACUGUGAGAAGCAUAAGAGCUUAUGUGACAGAAUUGAAGGAACCUGUUGCCCAACUGCAAUACCAAAAGCCGCUACUUGUUUGCUAGGUCAUUGAUCUGGAAGCAAAUGAAGCGGCAUUUGGCAGAAAUUGGCAAUUCAAGCCCUGCUCCUCAUCUUAGAGAUGAGCUUACAAUUUUUAUCGUCAAGGGUUUUCUCUUUUUUUUAGCCUACGAAAUUACACGAACUGACACAUUGCUUGCAGCUGUUAAUAUCCAUUGAAUGCUUAAACUAAUUUUCUUUUAUGUCUUUUAUUUUAUAAUUUGUAAUACUUUUGUGUCUUAUCUCAAGUAGAAAUUUGUAAAGAAAAACUGCUACUUCAUAACCCAUGCCCACCGGUAAUAGGCCAUUUCUUUUCCAGCAUUAUCUCUAUUUCAAACUUAUCGUCUUCACUUUUUUUUUAUAUAUUCCUUAAUGAGUUCAAAUUAUAUUAGUGUAUUAUAAUUAUCCAUAGUCUAAAUUGAAACAAACAUAUGAGUAGUAAUUAAGAGUCAAAUUAGAACCUAAUAAAAUUUAUUAAAGAAAAUAAAUGGAUUUUAACUAAAAAUGAUUAAAAUUUCCAUUACAAUAAUAUUAUUUCAGGUAUAUAUUUGUGAUAUGAUAAUCGAGUAUAACACUUUAUCUUGUUGGUUUAGCUUUUUUUAUCAAUGGAAGUAUUAAAUUUAAUAGUUUAUUAACUUAUUACUGGUUGUGCUACAGUCCAAAUGCAAGUUUAUUUAAUGUUAUCUCUUUUCUAGUAGUUUUAAUAUUAUUUUAUAGUUGUUCUUAAUUUGCUUUUAAUUUCUUUUAUUUUAUAAUUUAUUUGUUUAUUUUCAUUUUUAUUUGUUAAUGUCUUUUACUAACUUAAAUGUUUUCAUAAUGACAGAUUCUACUUAUCCGGUUUAGAGAUCCUAAGCGAUUCUUCUUUAGAUUUUUAGGAUUAGUUUAGUUAACUAAUUAGUUAAUUUCUUAUUUGAUUGUUUUGAGGCUUUAAACUAUGGUUGUAAUUAAUUUUCCUCAAUCGUCCCGAUCUUCUUAAUCCCUUUUUGGAUUUCUUU